rnacentral:rRNA from 1 species
CCUACGGGAGGCAGCAGUGAGGAAUAUUGGUCAAUGGACGAGAGUCUGAACCAGCCAAGUAGCGUGAAGGAUGACUGCCCUAUGGGUUGUAAACUUCUUUUAUAAAGGAAUAAAACGAGGCACGUGUGCCUUUUUGCAUGUACUUUAUGAAUAAGGAUCGGCUAACUCCGUGCCAGCAGCCGCGGUAAUACGGAGGAUCCGAGCGUUAUCCGGAUUUAUUGGGUUUUAAGGGAGCGUAGAUGGGUUGUUAAGUCAGUUGUGAAAGUUUGCGGCUCAACCGUAAAAUUGCAAUUGAUACUGGCAGUCGUGAGUACAGUUGAGGUAGGCGGAAUUCGUGGUGUAGCGGUGAAAUGCUUAGAUAUCACGAAGAACCCCGAUUGCGAAGGCAGCUUACUAAACUGUGACUGACAUUGAUGCUCGAAAGUGUGGGUAUCAAACAGGAUUAGAUACCCUGGUAGUC